CACUGAUGAUGAUGAUCAUGGUGAUGAGACAUGGGACAAAGUUUCAUACUCUAGAAACUAUUCACCGAAGAAGAGAUCAAGAUUAAAAACAGAGUCGUCUUCAAUUGAAAACUCUUGUAUUCUCGGCGUCACGAGUUCUAAUCUACGCCUGAAUCGAGUGUUUUACUAAAGCAAAUGGACUGCACAAGAGUUGGUGUGAGAUUAACGUAAUUAAUCAAAAGUGGAAAAUCAUGGGUUAUGGGUCUGCGACACAACAAAGGGACUGGUCAGGAUUUUAUGCGUGGUGGCUGGAGAAGUUUCUGCCGUGCAAACAAGCUGAAAACCGGAUCUUUCUACCGGUUUGAACUUGUCUUGACUAGGACAAGGCCUACGCUACAGCUGUGUUCCAAAGCUAAAGUUUCGGCAAAACCUAACAGGGCAGGCCAGAGAUCUUCUAUGAACCGGAGCAGGUUUAUGACGGUAACCUUGAAGGCUUACAUGCUCAAGUCAAGACAGCUUCAUUUUCGAAACUCUUUUGCGAGGGAGAACGGGAUCAAGAAAGGAGGAAAGAUUAAUCUGGUGGACAAAAAUGGAGGAACAUGGCCGUCUGUGUGUAGCUUCUGGGUAUGUAAACGGAGGGUUUUAUUUGGCUAAGGGUUGGAUAAGUUUUUGUAAAGCCAGUGGGAUAACAACUGGAGAGACCUUCACGUUAAAGUUUGUUCGAGAAAAAGGCAAAGCUCCGAUGCUUCAGUUCUGCUCCAUGGCCAAGACCAAGGUGAACACAGAGACUAGGUUCCAAAAGAAAGCUAGCGUUUCUGUAGAAGGAGAACCCUCUCGCCGUACUCAUGCAUCACACAAAUCAACUGUUGAUUCACAAAACCUGGAGUGCAAGCAACCGCUUGAAACAAUCUAUCACCAAGUGAGACAGAGUAUGAUGAACGUUUUAGCUGAUGUAAGACGGUUCGGGUCGGAGCUUGAGAUAAAGGAACAAAAUUUAGAAGCUGUGCUGGAGGAAAUCGACCUGUUAGGUAUGAUCUGAAACAUCGAUGAACUCUUCUUCUAUCUCUUUUGCUAUUUUGGUUUUAAGUUUUUAACAUUUUAUUGUUGGAAUAAACAGGGGAGAAAGUAUCGGAAAUCAACAAACUCUUCAAGUGAUUAUAUUAGGCUUAAAUGUAUUGUAUUGAAGAUGAAGAAAUUGAACAUGGACUUGUGUAAACUUUGUUUGUAUGGAAGAUCAAGAAAUUGAACAAGGUGGAACAAGAUGCGUACUUGUCUUUGUUGUUAUGGAAUUAUAUAACGUAAAAUAAGUUAUGUAAUGUACUUUCUAAUUCAUAAAUUAGUAAUUUUGAUUUAUUUUUGUUUUUAGUUAAGUAUUU